UUCACUGUGUUAGCCAGGAUGGUCUCAAUCUCCUGACCUCGUCAUCUGCCUGCCUCGGCCUCCCAAAGUGCUGGGAUUACAGGCUUGAGCCACCUCGUCCGGCCGGCUGUGGAGUCUUCUGCUUCCAGAUGUGCCACUGACUUUCUAACUGGCCCGAGUGAGGUCACUUACCCCGAAGCCUGAUUGACAGCCCCUCCCCUGGAGUGCGUUGUGAACACUGAAAGUAGUGUCAGUGAAGGGCUUGGUUUCUCUCCAGCAAGAAAACUUGCUGUGCACAGUGCAAAGUCCAAAGACUUGAAGAUACUUCAGAGGUGACACUCCCCCCGCCAAAGACUUCCAUGAA
rnacentral:lncRNA from 1 species